CUCCGUUCAGAUAUUUCUAAGUUUCUGGGCGUCCUCUCUCUACUCUACCGCUCUCAUUUUUCUUCCUCUCAUCUCUCUACCUUAUCCUUUCCUUUGGAGCGCUAGGGAGCGAAUGCCGCCGCUGCGGGGCGCAUAGGAGCUGCAGCUCCGCCAGCAUUUCCAGCGAGCCCUCAACCACACAGCCUUCAGGGUCGUAGCAGUCUAGCAGAGCAGAGCGCGCCGUGUCCAUGGCCGUCGCUGGCACGCGGGCCUGCCUGCUCAUCCCCUCCUGCGGCUCCUAGCGCUCCCGCCUCGCCACCGCCGCCCAUGCGGCUCCCUCGCCUCGUCGGCUGCCGUGGGCAGGGGGCGGCUCCGGGUGCGCAUGGCAAGGACGGAGUCCACCGGUGUUGCCGUCGGCUUCCGCGCGCCGCAGUUCAAGCUCCCGGAACCGCUGACCGGGAAUCUCUGGACGUUGGAUGAUUUCAAGGGCAACCUGGCGCUGCUGGUCAGGCACAGCAGCUUGCCGCCGGAGUUCUUCUCUAGCCCCGUCGUGGAUAAUGCAAGACGCUGCUGAAGCUAACGAUCCCGCGGAUCAAGCUGCUGCGGAACCGGCGGGAGCUGCAGCUCCGCCAGAUGCGGAGGGACAUCGCCAAGCUCCUCGAGGCGGGGCAGGAGGCCACUGCCGGCCACCGCUGCGGGAGACGGACUUGGGUGAUUUUUUCCUUCUUUUUUGAACUUUUCUGAAAUAGGGAUGGUAUGGAUUGUAUCGAUCUUGUAAAUGAUUUGUGGGAUCUAUAAAUUUUGUAUCGAUCGAUUCAGUAUUUGUGUUUGAUUCUUCGAAUGAUUUGUGGGAUCUGUAAAUUUUGUAUCGAUAGAUUCAGUAUUUUGUGGUU